AUCGAACGCUGGCGGCAGGCCUAACACAUGCAAGUCGAACGAGUGGCGGACGGGUGAGUAAUGUCUGGAAAACUGCCUGAUGGAGGGGGAUAACUACUGGAAACGGUAGCUAAUACUGCAUACCAUCAGAUGUGCCCACAUUGGAUUAGCUAGUUGGUGGGGUAACGGCUCACCAAGGCGAAGAUCCCUAGCUGGUCUGAGAGGAUGACCAGCCACACUGGAACUGAGACACGGUCCAGACUCCUACGGGAGGCAGCAGUGGGGAAUAUUGCGCAAUGGGCGCAAGCCUGAGGGAGCCAUGCCGCGUGAAUGAAGAAGGCUUUCGGGUUGUAAAGUUCUUUCAGCGGGGAGGCGGUACCCGACGAGGAAGCACCGGCUAACUCCGUGCCAGCAGCCGCGGUAAUAC
rnacentral:rRNA from 1 species